UACGAAGGGGGCUAGCGUUGUUCGGAAUUACUGGGCGUAAAGGGCGCGUAGGCGGCCAUUCAAGUCGGAGGUGAAAGCCCAGGGCUCAACCCUGGAAUUGCCUUCGAUACUGUUUGGCUAGAGACCGGAAGAGGUAAGUGGAACUGCGAGUGUAGAGGUGAAAUUCGUAGAUAUUCGCAAGAACACCAGUGGCGAAGGCGGCUUACUGGUCCGGUUCUGACGCUGAGGCGCGAAAGCGUGGGGAGCAAACAGG
rnacentral:rRNA from 1 species